GUAGGAUAGGUGGGAGGCUUUGAAGCGUGGACGCCAGUCUGCGUGGAGCCGACCUUGAAAUACCACCCUUUAAUGUUUGAUGUUCUAACGUGGACCCGUGAUCCGGGUUGCGGACAGUGUCUGGUGGGUAGUUUGACUGGGGCGGUCUCCUCCUAAAGAGUAACGGAGGAGCACGAAGGUUGGCUAAUCCUGGUCGGACAUCAGGAGGUUAGUGCAAUGGCAUAAGCCAGCUUGACUGCGAGCGUGACGGCGCGAGCAGGUGCGAAAGCAGGUCAUAGUGAUCCGGUGGUUCUGAAUGGAAGGGCCAUCGCUCAACGGAUAAAAGGUACUCCGGGGAUAACAGGCUGAUACCGCCCAAGAGUUCAUAUCGACGGCGGUGUUUGGCACCUCGAUGUCGGCUCAUCACAUCCUGGGGCUGAAGUAGGUCCCAAGGGUAUGGCUGUUCGCCAUUUAAAGUGGUACGCGAGCUGGGUUUAGAACGUCGUGAGACAGUUCGGUCCCUAUCUGCCGUGGGCGCUGGAGAACUGAGGGGGGCUGCUCCUAGUACGAGAGGACCGGAGUGGACGCAUCACUGGUGUUCGGGUUGUCAUGCCAAUGGCACUGCCCGGUAGCUAAAUGCGGAAGAGAUAAGUGCUGAAAGCAUCUAAGCACGAAACUUGCCCCGAGAUGAGUUCUCCCUGAGACUUUAGGUCUCCUGAAGGAACGUUGAAGACGACGACGUUGAUAGGCCGGGUGUGUAAGCGCAGCGAUGCGUUGAGCUAACCGGUACUAAUGAACCGUGAGGCUUAACCUUACA
rnacentral:rRNA from 1 species